rnacentral:rRNA from 1 species
ACACUCCUACGGGAGGCAGCAGUGAGGAAUAUUGGACAAUGGGUGGAAGCCUGAUCCAGCCAUCCCGCGUGCAGGAAGACGGCCCUAUGGGUUGUAAACUGCUUUUAUCUGGGGAUAAACCUACUUACGUGUAAGUAGCUGAAGGUACCAGAAGAAUAAGCACCGGCUAACUCCGUGCCAGCAGCCGCGGUAAUACGGAGGGUGCAAGCGUUAUCCGGAUUUAUUGGGUUUAAAGGGUCCGUAGGCGGACUGAUAAGUCAGUGGUGAAAUCCGACAGCUUAACUGUCGAACUGCCAUUGAUACUGUUAGUCUUGAGUAAGGUUGAAGUGGCUGGAAUAAGUAGUGUAGCGGUGAAAUGCAUAGAUAUUACUUAGAACACCAAUUGCGAAGGCAGGUCACUAAGUCUUAACUGACGCUGAUGGACGAAAGCGUGGGGAGCGAACAGGAUUAGAAACCCGGGUAGUCCCAUGAU